UCGUCCUCCCCCCGCUCUCGACGACAACGCCUCCUCUGGCUCUCUCUCCCCCCAAAUUCCCACCGCCAUCACCACCGCGAAACCCACCCUCGCGAUUACUCCCGCUCUCGACGCCGUGAUCACCUCAGAACUCCUCCCGCCUCCCGCUGUCUACGCCUCUCCCUCCCGCCUCCCGCUGUCUACGCCUCUCCCGCUGUCUACUCCUCCCGCCGUGAUUCCUCCCUCCUCCUCCCGCCUCCCGCUGUCUACGCCUCUCCCUCCCGCCUCCCGCUGUCGACGCCGGCAUCGACGCCAAGAUAAGGUAAAGUCUGAUUAUCUUUUUUUUAAUCUUUCAGGAGUUUGAAGGUGAGUAAAGAUCAUGCUUGUGAAUGGCUGAUAUGGUUUCUAAUUGAGGUUACACAAAUGGAGAUAUUAGGAUGUUCUUAUGUUGGUAGCUGCUUAAUUGUUUUGGAGAGGACAGAUGAGACGCGAAUUGAUGAUGAUAUAUUCACUUGAUUGAGAUAUGGACCCAGUUUAACUUCACAGGCAAACGGGAACAUUUUGAUUUGGGAAUCUAGGUUGCAUGUUGGCAGAGUGAAGAAAGGAUUGCUCUGCCUGAAAAGUGGUUUCUGUAUUUCAUUCCUAUUUUGGUUUUCUGUAUUUGUACGUGCUGGAGAGAAUCAUUGUUGUAUGUUUCAGGUUCUCCCCGGAGUUGUAUGUUGUCCUUGUUGUAAUUCAUUUCUUUAUAUGCGUUGAUACGUUUUCUUCA